GCACAGCGUUGUUAGGAGGGGGAGACACCAGAGCACCAACUUCUCUCACUUAAACCUUAUGACAACCUUAAGAAGUAGGGAGCAUGAUCCCCUUCUUGGAAAUGCAGAAAGAGAGAAUGGGGGAGAUUGAGAGGCUUGCAGAAUGUGACAUCAUUAGGGAGAACAGUGGUUGAGUCGAUACGUGCCUACCCUGGCAGCUGAUCACACAGGCAGACUGCUUUUGAAGUAAAUGGAAAGACUGCCCAAACAGACAAGAGUACUGAGCCACGGGGAGUUUGAAUGCCCUGUUCUGUGUCAAGCCCAGACGGCCGGUUCUCUUAUUCAUGGUUACUGAAGCCCUUUAUGCUAAAGAGUGCUGGGCAGUGAGAGACAGGGUCUUUUAUCCAGGCAGGGCUCAGGUUCCACACCAUGAAGUGAGUGGGAAGCUGCGGUAGAUGCCAUUUGAGUGUGAGGAGUGAGGUGUGGGGUGGCUGUGCUCUAAGCCACCCAGGCAGGAGCCAGGGGCCGUACCUCCUCCUCCAGCAGCUCCUGCAGAUGGGUGGUGGUGGAAGGAGGAGAGAAUGGGCCACAGGCAGGCCAAGGGCAAGCUUAGCAGCACUCAACAUCCUCCAUGAACUCAACAGAAGUCAAGAACGCAGGCAGCUCAUGAUGAAGACCUGCAGUGGCCCAGGUUUACCAAGCUCAUUCACAAUUGCAGUUGGAGAAUUCGUCUUUGGUCAUUGUCUACUUUGGAAAUACGAAAAAAACAGUUCACAUGCUUUAAAAAAGUCAUCCAAGCAGAAAAUUGGGAAGAGCAGCAGCUGUGAGAAGAGAUGUGUGCAGGGAUUACAAAUGAUUUCUCAUUAACUCCAGACGCUCUUGUUCCUGGUCACCACAGCCCCAUCUGAGAGGCAGAUGUGACAGCGCUGGCAGUGACAAUGACAGAGGAAGAGAUGGGAGGGAGAAACGGUUAGCUUAUUUGUUUUAAAAGAAGCUGCUCAAAUGUUUUGAGUUCUUCCAUGCCUCGUGAGUCACAAACCCACAGAAUGGGCAGGGCUUGGCUUGAAAUUGAGGAUGGUCUGCCUCUGCCAUUUCCUGAGCGGGUGAUCUUAGACUAGUUGGAGCCUUUAGUAUGCUAACAUGAACCACAAAUCUUCAAGAAGGAAGUACUCUGGGAUGUUUCUUCAAGACCUUUGAG
rnacentral:lncRNA from 1 species